rnacentral:rRNA from 1 species
GACGAACGCUGGCGGCGUGCUUAACACAUGCAAGUCGAGCGGAAAGGCCCUUCGGGGUACUCGAGCGGCGAACGGGUGAGUAACACGUGAGUAACCUGCCCCAGACUUUGGGAUAACCCUCGGAAACGGGGGCUAAUACUGGAUACGACACAGCUUCGCAUGGGGUCUGUGUGGAAAGUUUUUCGGUUUGGGAUGGGCUCGCGGCCUAUCAGCUCGUUGGUGGGGUGAUGGCCUAUCAAGGCGACGACGGGUAGCCGGCCUGUGAGGGCGACCGGCCACACUGGGACUGAGACACGGCCCAGACUCCUACGGGAGGCAGCAGUGGGGAAUAUUGCACAAUGGGCGGAAGCCUGAUGCAGAGACGCCGCGUGAGGGAUGACGGCCUUCGGGUUGUAAACCUCUUUCAGCAGAGACGAAGCGUAAGUGACGGUACCUGCAGAAGAAGCGCCGGCCAACUACGUG